rnacentral:rRNA from 1 species
AUUGAACGCUGGCGGCAGGCCUAACACAUGCAAGUCGAGCGGAUGAAGGGAGCUUGCUCCUGGAUUCAGCGGCGGACGGGUGAGUAAUGCCUAGGAAUCUGCCUGGUAGUGGGGGAUAACGUCCGGAAACGGGCGCUAAUACCGCAUACGUCCUGAGGGAGAAAGUGGGGGAUCUUCGGACCUCACGCUAUCAGAUGAGCCUAGGUCGGAUUAGCUAGUUGGUGGGGUAAAGGCCUACCAAGGCGACGAUCCGUAACUGGUCUGAGAGGAUGAUCAGUCACACUGGAACUGAGACACGGUCCAUACUCCUACGGGAGGCAGCAGUGGGGAAUAUUGGACAAUGGGCGAGAACCUGAUCCAGCCAUGCCGCGUGUGUGAAGAAGGUCUUCGGAUUGUAAAGCACUUUAAGUUGGGAGGAAGGGCAGUAAGUUAAUACCUUGCUGUUUUGACGUUACCAACAGAAUAAGCACCGGCUAACUUCGUG